CGGAAGGUGGCCAAGUGGAUAAAGGCAUCUGUCUGAUAUACAGAAGAUCGCAGGUUCGACUCCUGCCCUUCCGACCC
rnacentral:tRNA from 1 species